GGGUCACGUUUGACCUCUGGGUCACAGAGGUCACCGUGGGAGCAGCAUCAUCAGCUGGAGGAGUUCCCAGCAGUGGACAGGGCCUGGAGCACUUUGAGCUUCAACUCCACAGAGACCCUGCUGGUCAUCGCUGGUCUGGAGUCGAACUCAUCCUACGAGCUGCAGCUGGCCAUGGCGAACGGAGUUUGCCGGGGAAACUACAGUGAUGGUGUCAUCUUCACAACUCGUGCUGAACAAGUCGCUCCAAGUCCGCCGAACAUCUCCCAGCGUCCUGGCGAGCCGCAGGUGUUGUCUCUCUCGGUGGAGGACGAUGGCGGUCUUCCCGUGACGGGGUACACCGUCCGCUAUCGACCCGUGAGUAAUGUUGACCACCUCGCCGGCUAUACAGGA